rnacentral:tRNA from 1 species
UCAAGAAGAGGGGACUGCUCCCCCACCAUCAACACCCAAAACUGACAUUCUACUUAAACUACUUCCUG